rnacentral:tRNA from 1 species
ACUCUCUUAGUUCAAUUGGUAGAACAGAAGUCUUCGAAACUUCGGGUGCUGGUUCAAGCCCAGUAGGGGGCC